UUUUCCUCGGAUCAGGUAGGAACCCGGAAUUAACAUUCC
rnacentral:rRNA from 1 species